rnacentral:rRNA from 1 species
CAUGUAGGCGGCAUGACAAGUCUGGUGUGAAAUAUCUCGGCUCAACCGAGAAAACGCACUGGAAACUGUUAAGCUUGAGUAUCGGAGGGGAAGCUAGAAUUCCUGGUGUAGGGGUGAAAUCUGUAGAUAUCAGGAAGAAUACCGGUGGCGAAGGCGAGCUUCUGGCCAGAUACUGACGCUGAGAUGCGAAAGCGUGGGGAGCGAACAGGAUUAGAUACCCUGGUAGUCC